CCACACCUAAACAAAACUCUCCACGUGAACUGUUGUACCCGUUUGGCGCUGCCGUGUGUUAUGUGUUAUGUGWYRURUGWCRUAUGUCAUAUGUCAUGUGACUCGCUGGCAGCUGAACGAAGAAGGUCGUAUGUUGUUGUUGUUGUUGUUGUUGUAGUAGUAGUAGUAGUAGUAGUAGUAGUAGCUGCUGUUGUGUCUGCUCUGCUGYGUASUWCRGYACGWGGCGAGCRGSUGCUGYGACUGSUUCUACUGCUGCUGCUGCUGCGGCUACGRCUACGRCGGCGGCGGCGGCUGCUGCGGCUGACUUGUGUAUGUUUUCAACCCCGUACUGUAAACUACUGAUGUAUACUGUGAGAACGAAAGUUCUUGCUUUGAACUAGAUAACAACUUUCAGCAGUGGAUGUCUAGGCUCGCACAUCGAUGAAGAACGCUGCGAACUGCGAUACGUAAUGCGAAUUGCAGAAUUCAGUGAGUCAUCGAAAUUUUGAACGCAUAUUGCACUUUCGGGUUUUGCCUGGAAGUAUGUCUGUAUCAGUGUCCGUAAAUCAAACUUGCGUUUCUUUUUUUCUGUGUAGUCAGGGAGAGAGAGAGUAGCAGAUGUGAAGUGUCUCGUUUUGUUAUUGUUGUGUGUGUUUUUUGAAUCUCUCGAAAAGCUUGCACAAUAAACGAGUCCUUUGAAACGGACCCGAUCUUUCUUAUGUUUCUGCGACGUGUGGCGCUCUUGACGCGGCUGCGAUUUUCGGAUCGGUGGCAGUUGUCGGCGACUUCGGCGAAGACAUUAUGGAGGAAACCUCGAUUCGCGGUAUGUUAGGCUUCGGCCGGACAAUGUUGCUUAUUGUGUGUGGAAUCUGUCUUGGCCUUGAGGUGUACUGGCGGUUGUGUGCUUGUUCUGUUGGUUGUAUGCUUUUGUUGUUGGAGCGCUGCUGCUUUGUGUAUGUCGCGGUUGCGUCCGUGUCAGUUGUUGCUGAUGGCGGUAUGGAGAGGUUGUAUUUGGGAGAUGUUGUACUUUGUUGCCAUUCGUGUCAAUGUUGUAUCUCAAUUGGACCUGAUAUCAGACAAGAKACCCGCU
rnacentral:rRNA from 1 species